UCCUGCCUAUAGCACGCUAGGGGCACUCGAUAUUCCUUGUUAAAAAAAAUUUUAAUAAAUAACACACGGGUGAACUUGCUCUGAAUGUGUACUUUGCUCUGGUCGACCUUUUUAGCAAACACAAUUUUUCCACCUGAAAAACUCAGUAGGACGCCAAAGAAGCCAAUUUUUUUUCUUUAAAGCAAUCCUCAAGGGCUUAUAACAAUUUUUUGAAGCCUUUCACAUUGAGGAUGGCGAACCGAUCAGCUGUGAAAUUGAACUCCGGUCAACCAGAUUUUGUGCAGUUUAACAAUCUUGCGUGUGAAACAGCAGGAGGAAAGGUGAUUUUUGCAACGGAUGAGUGGUUUGCUCCUGCUCGGAAUCUCUUGAAGAGGGAGCCAGCAGUGUUUCUUCCGUCAGCAUUCACCGAGUUUGGGAAAUGGAUGGACGGUUGGGAAACUAGAAGGAAAAGAAUUCCAGGUCAUGACUGGUGCAUUGUGCAGUUGGGGGUUCCAGGUGUCAUUCACGGCUUUGAUGUGGACACGUCGUUCUUCACGGGAAACUAUGCGCCUUCCAUAUCUAUUCAGGCUGCCUGUCUGGAUGGACUCUCUGUGCCGUCUUUAGUUCUUGAGGGAGAUCGUACAGGGAUGGCUGCUUCAGAGAGCCAGUUUGAAGUGGUGGCACAGCUUAACUCCGAGAGUUGGGAGGAGAUUGUACCAGUGACAAUGCUGAAGCCGGGAUACGCUGAUUCCUGCAACAAUUUCUUCAGUGUCACUUUUCCCAAUCGAGUCACCCACAUCCGACUGAACAUGUAUCCUGAUGGAGGUAUUGCAAGAUUGCGAGUAUAUGGGGUUGGACAACGGGACUGGUCCAGUUUACGCAGUCACAUGGAAAUUGAUCUUGUCGCACUGGUCAAUGGUGGAGUGUGUGUGGGCUACAGCAAUGCACAUUUUGGUCACCCACGUAACAUGAUUGGUUUCGGAAGAGCUGACAACAUGGCUGACGGCUGGGAGACAGCACGACGCCUAGAUCGUCCCAAAGUGUUGAAAGCCGAUGAGAAGGGCAUCUUGCAGGUCCCUGGAUUUGAGUGGGCUAUCUUCAGACUUGGGCAUCCUAGUGUGAUCAGUAAAAUUGAGAUAGACACCAAUCACUUUAAAGGGAAUUUUCCUGACUGGUGUAAAAUUGAAGCCUGCAGUUUAACCCCAGAGGAGGAACAAACCUAUAUAAGACACAAGUGGAGCAGUGACCAAGGUCCUAUGUGGAAAAUGCUUCUUCUUCCUCAGAAACUGAAACCUCACUUCAGGCACUUGUACUCUGGAGAGUGUGUGCUGCAGCGUGGGUGUGUAAGUCACGUGAGGCUUGUAAUUGCGCCUGAUGGAGGGGUCAGUCGUCUCAGACUCUGGGGUCACAUCAUCUCUAACAACUCAACUAAUCCUCAUCAAAUCUCAAAACUCUGACCCUUAAAACUACCGAUUGCCCAGAACCAAUUAGGUGACAUGGUGGUUAUUGCCUUUUAAUGAAUGCACUUAUUAAAGCCACAGAUUAUGAAUCUCUAGAGUUGUUUUUAAAGCAAUUCACGAGUGAAACACGGAGCAAUAAACUGAAUUAAACCAUAAGUAUGGAGAUGGCUUAAUAAAUUUCCUGCUUCAUAUUUGGCUUAAGUCUUGCAGUUGCACAAUUAUUGCAUGGCCAGGAAUUAUAAAUAUUAACUUGUUAAUGCCUUAUUAAAAAUGCUAUCUUUGUGUUGGGUCAAGACAUGUAGAAUUGUGUUAAUCAAAUUGCUUUCAUCUUCAAGAUCAUAAAUCAGGAGCAGUUGUCUUGACUUGCUACUAAAAAAAACAAAAAAUGCCCUAGACAAUUACAAAUAGAAGCAUUAUUGAUUGAUAUUCAAAGAUUGACUUCACAAUAGUUAAAUUAUGCCAUUAAUGAAUAUACAUACUGCCUAAAUACUGAAUUAUGCUUUAUAAUGUAAGAUUUUUUGUAAAUAAAUAUUAAUUAGUUGUAUUAUUAAGUCUUUUUAAAUAGUUUUUAAAAAAGUAUGUAACACAGACAUCCUUUUAAGACUUAGUCUGUUUAAAGCUUAUCCCUUACUCCGUUUUCCAACACCUCAAUGUGAAUUGAAUUUAAAGUAUGCUUCUCUAUUCCAGCUCUUUAUAAACUGACAGUUUACUUGGGGAGUUUUUCCUGGAGUUUUUUGUUAUCAUUUCUGUCCUGUCUUUGUGCAGAUUAUGCCAGUGGUCCAUAACAGGAUAAUAGCAUCAGCACGAUGCAGAAGGAUUUGACCCAAGACAUGCACUAUCAGGAAAGUUUUUUAACAAGUAGAAGAAUUCUUAAGAGGAAAGGGAUUGCUGUAUCCUGAUGAAACUGUAACUUGUACAUUUAAGGAGAGCUGAUGAACUGAAGAACCUGUCAUGAUUUUUAAAUUGACCUCAUUUAAUUUGAUCAGCAUGUGUCUAUGUGUCUAAUGUGCUUGGGUCUCUGUUGUGCAUUUGCACUGAUUUCUAUAAUUCAUGCCUGAGCUGCAGAAAUGCUCACUGAAGGCAGAGUUCUCAUUUAGCCUUGCCCACUUUUCUCAGCAAAAGAGACAUUACUGUCGACCAGCUUCUAACCUUGCUCCAAUGAAAAUGUCUGUGGUCAUCCACCUUAA